rnacentral:rRNA from 1 species
AUUGAACGCUGGCGGCAGGCCUAACACAUGCAAGUCGAACGGUAACAGGAAGCAGCUUGCUGCUUUGCUGACGAGUGGCGGACGGGUGAGUAAUGUCUGGGAAACUGCCUGAUGGAGGGGGAUAACUACUGGAAACGGUAGCUAAUACCGCAUAACGUCGCAAGACCAAAGGGGGGACCUUCGGGCCUCUUGCCAUCGGAUGUGCCCAGAUGGGAUUAGCUAGUAGGUGGGGUAAAGGCUCACCUAGGCGACGAUCCCUAGCUGGUCUGAGAGGAUGACCAGCCACACUGGAACUGAGACACGGUCCAGACUCCUACGGGAGGCAGCAGUGGGGAAUAUUGCACAAUGGGCGCAAGCCUGAUGCAGCCAUGCCGCGUGUAUGAAGAAGGCCUUCGGGUUGUAAAGUACUUUCAGCGGGGAGGAAGGGAGUAAAGUUAAUACCUUUGCUCAUUGACGUUACCCGCAGAAGAAGCACCGGCUAACUCCGUG